rnacentral:precursor_RNA from 1 species
GGGAACCCCGUUGAAGGAGGGACAGACCAAGAGGACAGAGAGGUCGGGAAUUUCAGCGAUUUGAUUUUUUUUUUUUUGGGGGACGUAGGAGGUCGAGGAAAGCCCAGAGUUUUCAGAGCGUUGGAGAUGAAUGGUUCGUUUUAUUCGGAAAAUAAAGACCGUUCUGGAAGGGGAGUUUUUUCAGGCCCACUCUUUUGAUUUCCGCUAACUUUUUGCACAGAAGGGAGCCAGUUUAAGUUUUUGCACCAAAAAGGGGCAGGGCACGAAGGGAAAAAAAUUAGUUCGUAAAUUGACAGUUUUUUUUUAACUAGUAUCGUAGAGAUUGCAAA